UGCCAGCCGACGACAUCACAAGC
rnacentral:piRNA from 1 species